rnacentral:rRNA from 1 species
CCACGGAAGUUUCAGAGAUGAGAAUGUGCCUUCGGGAACCGUGAGACAGGUGCUGCAUGGCUGUCGUCAGCUCGUGUUGUGAAAUGUUGGGUUAAGUCCCGCAACGAGCGCAACCCUUAUCCUUGUUGCCAGCGGUCCGGCCGGGAACUCAAAGGAGACUGCCAGUGAUAAACUGGAGGAAGGUGGGGAUGACGUCAAGUCAUCAUGGCCCUUACGACCAGGGCUACACACGUGCUACAAUGGCGCAUACAAAGAGAAGCGACCUCGCGAGAGCAAGCGGACCUCAUAAAGUGCGUCGUAGUCCGGAUUGGAGUCUGCAACUCGACUCCAUGAAGUCGGAAUCGCUAGUAAUCGUGGAUCAGAAUGCCACGGUGAAUACGUUCCCGGGCCUU